rnacentral:ncRNA from 2 species
UAACUAAUAAAAUAUAUUACUUAUUUAUACUGUGAAUUGGCGCAGUGUUUCUACAAGACACCGUAAUGUCUAACAAUAAGUGAGCUUAAAAAGCUU